CGUGUAGGCGGCCUUUUAAGUCUGGUGUGAAAGCCCGGGGCUUACCCCCGGAAGGGCACUGGAAACUGGGAGGCUAGAGUACCGGAGAGGAGGGUGGAAUUCCUGGUGUAGCGGUGAAAUGCGUAGAUAUCAGGAGGAACACCGGUGGCGAAGGCGGCCCUCUGGACGGAUACUGACGCUGAGACGCGAAAGCGUGGGGAGCAAACAGGAUUAGAUACCCUGGUAGUCCACGCUGUAAACGAUGGGCACUAGGUGUUCGGGGUAUUGACCCCCUGAGUGCCGCAGCUAACGCAUUAAGUGCCCCGCCUGGGGACUACGGCCGCAAGGUUAAA
rnacentral:rRNA from 1 species